CUCCAUAUCCUUGGCAGUGGAUCCCACCUCUGAGCUCGAGGAAUUGUCCUCAGGGAUGGUUAAAUUCCAUAUGGAUCAGCUCUAUGUGGUGCAGAGAACAGCCCUGAUCUUCCACACCUUGCUUCUAACUCCUCGUUUUUUGGGUAUUUUUUCUCUU